CCCUUAGAUGUUCUGGGCUGCACGCGCGCUACACUGAUGCGCUCAACGAGUUUAUGACCUUGCCCGGAAGGGUUGGGUAAUCUUCUUAAAACGCAUCGUGAUGGGGAUAGAUUAUUGCAAUUAUUAAUCUUCAACGAGGAAUUCCUAGUAAGCGCGAGUCAUCAGCUCGUGCUGAUUACGUCCCUGCCCUUUGUACACACCGCCCGUCGCUCCUACCGAUUGAAUGUGUUGGUGAGGAGCUCGGAUUGGCAGCAGUUGGUGGUUCGCCACCGGCUAUUGCUGAGAAGUCCUCCAAACCGCCCCAUUUAGAGGAAGGAGAAGUCGUAACA
rnacentral:rRNA from 1 species